GGGGACAUUGGUGACAGGUGGUGCAUGGUUGUCGUCAGCUCGUGUCGUGAGAUGUUGGGUUAAGUCCCGCAACGAGCGCAACCCUUGUCUUUAGUUGCCAUCAUUAAGUUGGGCACUCUAGAGAGACUGCCAGGGAUAACCUGGAGGAAGGUGGGGAUGACGUCAAAUCAUCAUGCCCCUUAUGCUUAGGGCUACACACGUGCUACAAUGGGUAGUACAGAGGGUUGCCAAGCCGUAAGGUGGAGCUAAUCCCUUAAAGCUACUCUCAGUUCGGAUUGUAGGCUGAAACUCGCCUACAUGAAGCUGGAGUUACUAGUAAUCGCAGAUCAGAAUGCUGCGGUGAAUGCGUUCCCGGGUCUUGUACACACCGCCCGUCACACCACGGGAGUUGGAGACGCCCGAAGCCGAUUAUCUAACCUUUUGGAAGAAGUCGUCGAAGGUGGAAUCAAUAACUGGGGUGAAGUCGUAACAAGGUAGCCGUAUCGGAAGGUGCGGCUGGAUC
rnacentral:rRNA from 1 species